CUUACUACGUGAGCUACUGGGGAGAAAAUGUGGCUGGUAGUAAGUUGUGCAGUGGGCCAGGUGGAAAUCAGGAGGCAGAAAUCAUCCUUGACACAAAGGGGAAGCAAUCUGGGAACCACUGGAUUCAGCACUUCAACCUGGAGAAAGUGAUUCUAGAUGACCUGGUGAAUCUAUUUAAGCCAAAAGCAAAAUGUCUGUCAACCUAAGUCAACAACCACUUUUCAUCCAGUGGGUCAAACUUUUCAUCUAAAGCUGUACUUUACCAUUCCCAUAAUGAUGCUCCUAGAUGGGAGCAGAAGACCAGUUUCUCGUUGUCCUUGUGGCAGCAGUAGAUGUUUUGGGAAGGUGCACAAUAACAGGACAUACGUGGAGGGAUCCUUUCCCAGGCAGUGAAUCAGAGAAAAAAAAAGCUUGCCAGAGAGGAAUGGAAGAUGAUUUGGAAGCAUGCUAAUGAGCCGGGGGAAAGAUGGAAUUCCCACAUUUUUACUCGUAACUACCUUCACCAGCUGCGAAGUUCAUAACAUCAGACCAUUCAGAGCUUAGCAGGACAGAUAAGAACUCAGAUGAAGUUUCCAUACAUCACCACACAAUGGGGAGGCAAGCUUAGUCAUGAGCAUUCUUCCAGUGUUUUUUCCUUCCUUCCAUACACCGAGAAAAAUAGAUAUUUUCUCUCAAAAUUGCUAAGGAAUGAUUUAUCUAGUAGCUCAUCGUAGUCCUACAGCCUUGAACAUGUGCCUGUCUGCUCCAGUCUCUGCAUAUCGCAAUUACCCGGUGUCUGCUCAUAUUGUCUUAAGUCAAGGGAAGCCUUCAUUGAAGACAGUAAGUGCUCACUGAAGACAUUAACUGCUGCUAUCUGCUUUGGGCACCCAGAUUCCCAAAAGUGAUAUUCCUGUGUGUUGUCUGGGCUUGAGCUGCCUUGAGGAUGCUAUUGAACCUCCAUUGGGCUUUUAUCAGAAAAUAGCUACUUACCCUCUGAACUGCAACACCCCCGAAAGGCAAUGAAGGAACUGCAAAGUGGGAUUGAUGUGUUUGUUGACAGUCAAUAAUGACAACAUUUUGAACUGAGUUUAAUUAUGGCAAUUUUUGUGCAGGAAAGGUGCAGGUUGUGUUCACCAAGUCUAGUGGUUUUAUUUCGACACACUGCAGCACUGAAACAUGCUAAUGUUCCAUUGUCAAGCAGCCGGUAAAAAAAUAAAUAAAAAAAAAAAGCUGAUAAUUUACAACUGGUCUCUAUGGUAAGAUGAUAGAAAACGUGAAUUACAUAAAUUAAGGACAAUUAAUCCAUUGUAAGAAUGAUUUAGGAGUAACUGCAACUUUCUUUGGCCAUGAGAUUAGCUGUGUGAGUACUGUCUUGUCUACCAGAUUAAUGCUUUAAUGCUUUAAAAGUAUAUGAAUGAAAUCAUAAAUAAAAUCAGAAUUUUAAAUAAAUGGUGGCUUCCA